GCCUGUAAUCCCAACAUUCAGGAGGAUGAGGCAGGAGGAUUACCCUGAGUUCAAGGCCAGCCUGGGCUGCAUAAUAAAUUCAAGGCCAGCCUGAUUUGCAUGGUGAGACCCUGCCUCAAAAAAACCAACAAAAAAAAAUUUUAAGAAAGAGGAAUAUAGCUCAGUGGUAGAAUACCUCUGGGUUCCACCUAUAGGACUGAAAAAUAGUUGGCAGUAAUUUUUAUGUAUAUGUUAGCAUACUUUUUGAUACACAGUCUGGCUAUGUAUUUCAGCCUGAACUCACUAGCCCAGGUUAGCCUCAAACUCACAGUGAUCCUCCUGCCUCAGCCUCUAGAGUGCUGGGAUCAUAGGCAUGCACCACCAUACUUAGCGUACCAUAAUUUUCUUUUAUAAUUUGUUAUUCAGCAUUUUAUUUUUGGCUGAAUUCAGAAGUAGAAGCUCUCAGAGAGGAAAGCCUGCGUCUCUUGGCAACUCACUCCUGGUGUUUUUUCUGGGCUUCAUUCUACUGGCCAGAAGUUCAGCAUAUUCUGCAGCCUCUUCAUUUUUCUUAGUUUGCUGCUGCUUCGGAGCAGUAUGGCGGCUGGCGUUUGUGUUGGACAUGUGGAGCGAGCAACAAGAUGCUGAAUCUUGGGGCCUUUAGUCCUGGGUUUCUUACCUUAAGGGCUUUCUGACAACAUAUUGGCAACAUCAUCUUCUUUUUUAUUUUUAUUUUUUUUUAAAUCUUUUUAUCGGUACGGGGGGAAUCGAACUCACGACUGCUUGCUUGCAAGGCAGGUGCUUAUGCCACUGAGCUAAAUCCCCAGCCCCAAACAUCAUCAUCUUUAGAGAGACUGAAACGCUUGCAGAUUCUGCUUACUCUUUUGGACCCCAGGCACAGGUUUUUUUUUUGUUGUUGUUGUUUUUUUAAUAAUAAGCAAGUUCUAAAUUCUCAGAUCGCCAUCCGCAAGGCAACCUCAGACAGAUCUAUGUGCUCUCCCAGUUCUCCUCGGUCUGUAAUAGGAUGUUCCUUGCUCAGUAACAAGCGAACUCGGCCAUGAGUCAAGACGCCCUGCUUCAUGGGGAAACCUUGUUUGUCGUUCCCACCACUGAUUGAGACCACAUAACCCUUCUGUUCUUCACCAGCAGCAACUGCUGUGGCUACACGAUUUCCAUAGGACCUAUGAAGUUUGCAUUCAUCAGAGCUCGAUAGAGCACCUCUUAAAGAACAAGCAAAGCCGUCUCACCAACUCUAGGAGGACACCAAGAACUAAGGGGUGGGCUAGGGCCCUCCUAAUGCAAACAUCAGAAUCAGACAGCAUUUGGCAGGACCAGAACCAGGUGUCCUUGUGGCUAUCCCAUUCAAGGAGAAGCUGCCAUUUAGGAGGAGGAGAGAUUGUAAAACUUGGGGAAAACUCCGGUACUGUGUACAGAAUUCUACAGCAUCCUGAACAUGGGCAUUGGCUAAUCAAUCCACAAUCCUUUGUGGAAUUUGUGGUCUUCAACAAUAAUGUGAACGUGUUCUGUGUUGUAACCCUGAUCCUGGAGUCCAUCGAUGUAGGUAAGAAGGCUUUUCUCCUCCCUGCUCUGGGUGUCCCAGAAGGCUCACUUUCUCAUGUAAACAUCUGAGCACUCAUAGCAUAUUGGUACUUUAGACAUUGUCUCUAUGGUCAUUCUAACUCGGCAAGGGCAGCA